GAUGAACGCUGGUGGCGUGCCUAACACAUGCAAGUCGAGCGAUUCUCUUCGGAGAAGUGCGGCGGACGGGUGAGUAACGCGUGGGUAACCUGCCCUGUACACACGGAUAACAUACCGAAAGGUAUGCUAAUACGAGAUAACAUGCUUUUAUCGCAUGGUAGAAGUAUCAAAGCUUUUGCGGUACAGGAUGGACCCGCGUCUGAUUAGCUAGUUGGUGAGGUAACGGCUCACCAAGGCGACGAUCAGUAGCCGACCUGAGAGGGUGAUCGGCCACAUUGGAACUGAGACACGGUCCAAACUCCUACGGGAGGCAGCAGUGGGGAAUAUUGCACAAUGGGCGAAAGCCUGAUGCAGCAACGCCGCGUGAGCGAUGAAGGCCUUCGGGUCGUAAAGCUCUGUCCUCAAGGAAGAUAAUGACGGUACUUGAGGAGGAAGCCCCGGCUAACUACGUG
rnacentral:rRNA from 1 species